AAUCAACGCUGGCGGCGUGCCUCAGACAUGCAAGUCGAACGAUUAAAGCUCUCUUCGGAGAGUGCAUAGAGUGGCGCACGGGUGAGUAACACGUAAGUAAUCUACCUUCGAGUGGGGAAUAACGUCCGGAAACGGACGCUAAUACCGCAUAAUGCAGCGGCAUCGCAAGAUGACAGUUGUUAAAGGAGCAAUUCGCUUGAAGAGGAGCUUGCGGCAGAUUAGCUUGUUGGUAAGGUAACGGCUUACCAAGGCUACGAUCUGUAACCGGUCUAAGAGGACGGUCGGUCACACUGACACUGAAUAACGGGUCAGACUCCUACGGGAGGCAGCAGUCGGGAAUUUUGGGCAAUGGGGG
rnacentral:rRNA from 1 species